rnacentral:rRNA from 1 species
UACGUAGGGGGCUAGCGUUGUCCGGAAUCAUUGGGCGUAAAGCGCGCGUAGGCGGCCCGGUAAGUCCGCUGUGAAAGUCAAAGGCUCAACCUUUGAAUGUCAGCGGAUACUGCCGGGCUAGAGUCCGGAAGAGGCGAGUGGAAUUCCUGGUGUAGCGGUGGAAUGCGCAGAUAUCAGGAGGAACACCAACGGCGAAGGCAGCUCGCUGGGACGGUACUGACGCUGAGACGCGAAAGCGUGGGGAGCGAACAGG